GCACGGGUGCGUAAUGUGUAUGCAAUCUACCUUUUACAGAGGGAUAGCCCAGAGAAAUUUGGAUUAAUACCUCAUAGUAUUAUUGAAUGGCAUCAUUUAAUAAUUAAAGUCACAACGGUAAAAGAUGAGCAUGCGUCCCAUUAGCUAGAUGGUAAGGUAACGGCUUACCAUGGCAACGAUGGGUAGGGGUCCUGAGAGGGAGAUCCCCCACACUGGUACUGAGACACGGACCAGACUCCUACGGGAGGCAGCAGUGAGGAAUAUUGGUCAAUGGGCGCAAGCCUGAACCAGCCAUGCCGCGUGCAGGAUGACGGUCCUAUGGAUUGUAAACUGCUUUUGUACAGGAAGAAACAGUUCUACGUGUAGAACCUUGACGGUACUGUAAGAAUAAGGAUCGGCUAACUCCGUGCCAGCAGCCGCGGUAAUACGGAGGAUCCAAGCGUUAUCCGGAAUCAUUGGGUUUAAAGGGUCCGUAGGCGGUUUUGUAAGUCAGUGGUGAAAGCCCAUCGCUCAACGGUGGAACGGCCAUUGAUACUGCAAGACUUGAAUUAUUAGGAAGUAACUAGAAUAUGUAGUGUAGCGGUGAAAUGCCUAGAGAUUACAUGGAAUACCAAUUGCGAAGGCAGGUUACUACUAAUAUAUUGACGCUGAUGGACGAAAGCGUGGGGAGCGAACAGGAUUAGAUACCCUGGU
rnacentral:rRNA from 1 species